UUAAAUUGAAGAGUUUGAUCAUGGCUCAGAUUGAACGCUGGCGGCAGGCCUAACACAUGCAAGUCGAACGGUAACAGGAAACAG
rnacentral:rRNA from 4 species